rnacentral:rRNA from 1 species
AGUCGUACGAGAGUUUUUAACUCAAGUGGCGGACGGGUGAGUAACACGUAAGAAUUUGCCUUUAGGAGGGGGACAACAACUGGAAACGGUUGCUAAUACCCCUAUGCUUUCGAGUGAAAUGGAUUUUUCCGCCUAGAGAGAAGCUUGCGGCUGAUUAGCUUGUUGGUGAGGUAAUGGCUCACCAAGGCGACGAUCAGUAUCUGGUUUGAGAGGACGAUCAGACACACUGGAACUGAGACACGGUCCAGACUCCUACGCAGCAGUGGGGAAUUUCCGCAUGGGCGAAAGCCUGACGGAGCAAUACCGCGUGAGGAUGACGCCUAUGGGUUGUAAACCUCUUUUUUCAGGGAGGAAUAAAAUGACGUGUACCUGAAGAAUAAGCAUCGGCUAACUCCGUGCCAGCAGCCGCGGUAAGA